AUCAGACACAAAGACUAAGCUCUGGGCCGAUGAUCCUAGUUUGUCCCUGAAGUAUGAGGCUGGUGACUGGAGUAACUGUGUUUCUGACCUUGGGGACUGUGAUUGAUGCUAAGACCACCCAGCCCAAUUCCAUGGAUUGUGCUGAAGGAGAAGAUGUAAAAUUGCCUUGUAACCACUCUACCGUCAGUGUGGAUGAUUAUAUACACUGGUAUCGGCAAAAUCCGAGUCAGAGUCCACAGUAUAUAAUUCAUGGCUUACGAGACAAUGUGACCAACAACAAGGCCUCUCUGACCAUCGCAACAGACAGAAAGUCCAGCACUUUGAUCCUGCCCCAGGUCACCUUGAGAGACACUGCUGUAUACUACUGCAUUGUGACAAGCCCUACAUAUAGUGUAUGGCAGACAAGACUUUCCAUAGCCCUAAACAUUAGAGGUCUCCCAUAG